GGAUAGGUGUCCGAGUGGUUUAAGGAACCGGUCUUGAAAACCGGCGUGCGUUCACGCGUACCGUGGGUUCGAAUCCCACCCUGUCCGCCA
rnacentral:tRNA from 1 species